rnacentral:lncRNA from 1 species
CUCUCAGUUUUAAACCGCUCAAAUAUUUCAUCAUUCUGAUAAUGUAAUUUGUAUGUGAUUCACGCUGCUGAUGACAAUAUAAUGCAUAGUUUUAACACGUAAGCGACGUGGUAUACUGCGCUAUUGACAUGUUGUGCAAUGAGUUGUCGUCUUGGUGGCAACUCUUUUGUCCUCUGUUUCUGUGUUUACCAUAAAGAGAGAAAACAAACUACUCCUCUGUUUUAUUAUAAGUGUCGUUUUAUAUUUCGGCAUAUGAAUUAAAAAAAUAA